rnacentral:rRNA from 1 species
GAUGAACGCUGGCGGCGUGCCUAAUACAUGCAAGUCGAGCGAACGGACGAGAAGCUUGCUUCUCUGAUGUUAUCGGCGGACGGGUGAGUAACACGUGGAUAACCUACCUAUAAGACUGGGAUAACUUCGGGAAACCGGAGCUAAUACCGGAUGAUAUUUUGAACCGCAUGGUUCAAAAGUGAAAGACGGUCUUGCUGUCACUUAUAGAUGGAUCUGCGCUGCAUUAGCUAGUUGGUAAGGUAACGGCUUACCAAGGCAACGAUGCAUAGCCGACCUGAGGGGGUGAUCGGCCACACUGGAACUGAGACACGGUCCAGACUCCUACGGGAGGCAGCAGUAGGGAAUCUUCCGCAAUGGGCGAAAGCCUGACGGAGCAACGCCGCGUGAGUGAUGAAGGUCUUCGGAUCGUAAAACUCUGUUAUUAGGGAAGAACAUAUGUGUAAGUAACUGUGCACAUCUUGACGGUACCUAAUCAGAAAGCCACGGCUAACUACGUG